rnacentral:tRNA from 1 species
UAAAUAAUGACAGAUGAUGUGUUGAAUUUAGAAUUCAAUUAUAUAGAUU